rnacentral:rRNA from 1 species
GCAAGUCGAACGAGAAAGCCCUUCGGGGUGAGUAGAGUGGCGCACGGGUGCGUAACACGUAGGUGACCUGCCUAUUUGUGGGGAAUAACCAGUGGAAACGCUGGCUAAUACCGCAUACGCUGAAUGAAAUUGGAAAAUUCAGUAAAGGGGGCUUAGGCUCUCGCAAGUAGAUGGGCCUGCGGAACAUUAGCUUGAUGGUGGGGUAAUGGCCUACCAUGGCGAUGAUGUUUAGCUGGUCUGAGAGGAUGAUC